AAGCCCAACACCUGGCUGUGUUGGAAAGGCUUAGAGGACCCUGCGAUGACCAAGGCCAUUUGAAAUGCCCUGGUAUGAGAGGCAGAGGCAUCCCUGAGAAGUUCCACAGCGGUGGAGUCCUCUGUAAUCAGGUCCGAUGGACCUUCUCAACAUCACAUCAUCACCAAGAGAAGGACAAAUCAGAAGCCAAUUCAUUGAGUAGCGAUGUCAGUCUUCCCUGAACAAUUCUGAAGGAGCAGCAAAAGAGUUCCGUGACACAAGUAGAAAGUUCAUGGACACAGGUAGACGACGGGGCCAAAGCAAGAGAAAGGCCAAGGAGAGACAAAAGGAUGUCUCCCGGUCAUAUCUCAGGCCAGUUGCCCUCCUGGCCCUUCCCAAUCUCACGUGUACACCUCUUUUAUGUAAGAGAGUUGGUGUUGAGUUUCAGACCCUUCCAACAGAAAAUGUCUGUUUUGUGGGUUGAAUUGUGACCCCCCCCCCGUGACCUUUUAAGUGAGAGUUUUGUGGGUUGAAUUGUGGCUCCCAAAGGUAUGGCCACCCAGAAGCUCAGAGUGUGACCUUAUUUGAAUGUUUUUACAGAUACAAUUAAGGUAAGAAUCUUGAGAUGAGAUCACUGGACCUUAAUCCAAUGACAAGGUCUGAUUAGGGCAGAGGAGGAGAAGGAGCAGGGGGAGACAGAGAGAGGGCCACAUGAGGAUCGAGGUAGAGACAGGAGCGGUGCAGUCAUAAGCCUGGGGACACCUGGAGCCUGGAAGCCAGGAGGAACCCCGGCCUGGAACCUUCCGUGGGAGCACAGCCCUACUGACUCCAGGACUGGGAGAGAAGAAGCUUCCGUUUCAAGCCACCCAGUUUGUGAUCAUUUGUUAUGGCGGCCACAGGAAACGGAUUCUGCGGGCAUCGUGCAAAA